rnacentral:piRNA from 1 species
AUUUCUGUCUGGGCAUUAACCUU